AUUGAACGCUGGCGGCAUGCCUAACACAUGCAAGUCGAACGAGACCUUCGGGUCUAGUGGCGCACGGGUGCGUAACGCGUGGGAACCUGCCUUUAGGUUCGGAAUAACUCAGAGAAAUUUGAGCUAAUACCGGAUGAUGUCUUCGGACCAAAGAUUUAUCGCCCUUAGACGGGCCCGCGUCGGAUUAGCUAGUUGGUGGGGUAACGGCCUACCAAGGCGACGAUCCGGUAGCUGAUCUUAGAGGAUGAUCAGCCACACUGGGACUGAGACACGGCCCAGACUCCUACGGGAGGCAGCAGUGGGGAAUCUUGGACAAUGGGCGCAAGCCUGAUCCAGCCAUGCCGCGUGAGUGAAGAAGGUCUUCGGAUUGUAAAGCUCUUUUACCAGGGACGAUAAUGACGGUACCUGGAGAAUAAGCCCGGCAAACUUCGUGCCAGCAGCCGCGUAAAGUGAC
rnacentral:rRNA from 1 species